AAUCACCGAUUCCCGUACAAUCACUAAAGUUAAGCAACGUUGAGUCCGGUCAGUACUUAGAUGGGUGACCACUUGAGAAU